rnacentral:rRNA from 1 species
UUCCGGUUGAUCCCGCCGGACCCGACUGCUAUCAGAGUGAGAUUAAGCCAUGCGAGUUAACGUAGCAAUACGUGGCGCACGGCUCAGUAACACGUAGUCAACAUGCCCAGAGGACGUGGAUAACCUCGGGAAACUGAGUCUAAACCGCGAUAAGUGAGGAUUUCUGGAAUGGUUCCUGACUAAAAUCUAUAUGGCCUCUGGAUUGGACUGCGGCCGAUCAGGCUGUUGGUGAGGUAAUGGCCCACCAAACCUGUAACUGGUACGGGCUCUGAGAGGAGAAGCCCGGAGAUGGGCACUGAGACAAGGGCCCAGGCCCUAUGGGGCGCAGCAGGCGCGAAACCUCUGCAAUAGGCGAAAGCCUGACAGGGUUACUCUGAGUGAUUUCCGCUAAGGGGAUCUUUUGGCACCUCUAAAAAUGGUGCAGAAUAAGGGGUGGGCAAGUCUGGUGUCAGCCGCCGCGGUAAUACCAGCACCCCGAGUGAUCGGGACGAUUAUUGGGCCUAAAGCAUCCGUAGCCGGUUCUGCAAGUCUUCCGUUAAAUCCAGCCGCUCAACGGAUGGGCCGCGGAGGAUACUACAGGACUAGGAGGCGGGAGAGGCAAGCGGUACUCAGUGGGUAGGGGUAAAAUCCUUUGAUCCAUUGAAGACCACCAGUGGCGAAGGCGGCUUGCCAGAACGCGCUCGACGGUGAGGGAUGAAAGCUGGGGGAGCAAACCGGAUUAGAUACCCGGGUAGUCCCAG